GAAAGAACGUAGCGAAAUGCGAUACGUAAUGUGAAUUGCAAAUUCAGUGAAUCAUCGAGUCUUUGAACGCACAUUGCGCCCCCUGGUAUUCCGGGGGGCAUGCCUGUCCGAGCGUCAUUGCUGCCCUCAAGCACGGCUUGUGUGUUGGGCCCCGUCCUCCGAUCCCGGGGGACGGGCCCGAAAGGCAGCGGCGGCACCGCGUCCGGUCCUCGAGCGUAUGGGGCUUUGUCACCCGCUCUGUAGGCCCGGCCGGCGCUUGCCGAUCAACCCAAAUUUUUAUCCAGGUUGACCUCGGAUCAGGUAGGGAUACCCGCUGAACUUAAGCAUAUCAAUAAGCGGAGGA
rnacentral:misc_RNA from 1 species